GACGAACGCUGGCGGCGCGCUUAACACAUGCAAGUCGAACGGAAAGGCCUGCUUUCCCUUGUGGAUUGCGGGUACUCGAGUGGCGAACGGGUGAGUAACACGUGAGUGAUCUGCCCCCAACUUGGGUAUAAGCCUGGGAAACUGGGUCUAAUUCCCGAUAGGACUGCAGGGUGGUGCCUGUGGUGGAAAACGAUUUUCUAGUGGUCGGGGAUGAGCUCGCGGCCUAUCAGCUUGUUGGUGGGGUAAUGGCCUACCAAGGCGGCGACGGGUAGCCGGCCUGAGAGGGUGGACGGCCACAUUGGGACUGAGAUACGGCCCAGACUCCUACGGGAGGCAGCAGUGGGGAAUAUUGCACAAUGGGCGGAAGCCUGAUGCAGCGACGCCGCGUGGGGGAUGACGGCCUUCGGGUUGUAAACUCCUUUCGACCGCGAGGAAGCCACCUGGUUGGAAGGGUGGUGACGGUAGUGGUAGAAGAAGCACCGGCUAACUACGUG
rnacentral:rRNA from 1 species